rnacentral:lncRNA from 1 species
CGGGCAUGCGGAGCACAUGGCCUAGGACGUGCAUGGGUGCGCAUAGCCCAAUCGAGCGCACAGCCCAAGACAUGUGUGGUCCAAGUGUGCACCCACGCAGUGCACAUGCGAUCCACCAUGCGCCUGUAGUAGGAGUCGCGGUCCGUGCAUCGCGCAUGGACUGCUGAAGUCCAGAGACAGUUUCUCAUGGCUUGCACAUGCGGAC